GCUAAGCACUUACAACUGUUUGCAGAGGAAACUGAGACUUUGUAACUAUAUCUCAGUCUCAUCUGCAAAGAAGUAAGUGCUUUGC
ensembl:miRNA MIR452 microRNA 452